rnacentral:rRNA from 1 species
GGCUGCAGUCGAGAAUUUUUGGCAAUGGACGAAAGUCUGACCAAGCGAUGCCGCGUGCAGGAUGAAGGCCUUCGGGUUGUAAACCGCUGUCAGUGGGGAGAAAAGGACGGAUGUACUCCGUUUUGAUCUAUCCGCAGAGGAAGUGUGGGCUAAGCUCGUGCCAGCAGCCGCGGUAAGACGAGCCACACGAACGUUAUUCGGAAUUACUGGACUUAAAGGGUGCGUAGGCGGUGCGGAAAGUUGGGUGUGAAAUCCCUCGGCUCAACCGAGGAACUGCGCUCAAAACUACCGUACUUGAGGAAGAUAGAGGUGAGCGGAACUUACGGUGGAGCGGUGAAAUGCGUUGAUAUCGUAAGGAACACCCGUGGCUAAAGCGGCUCACUGGGUCUUUUCUGACGCUGAUGCACGAAAGCUAGGGGAGCAAACGGGAUUAGAUACCCCGGUAGUCCUAGCCGUAAACUAUGAGUACUGAAUUGAAGGGCUCUCCAUAGCCCUCCAGUGAAGC